CCUGGUGGCUCAGAUGGUAAAGCAUCUGCCUGCAAUGCAGGAGACGCAGGUUCGAUCCCUGGGUCAGGA
rnacentral:tRNA from 1 species